rnacentral:rRNA from 1 species
UACGUAGGGGGCAAGCGUUGUCCGGAUUUAUUGGGCGUAAAGAGCGUGUAGGCGGUUUGGUAGGUCCGCUGUGAAAACUCGAGGCUCAACCUCGAGACGCCGGUGGAAACCAUCAGGCUAGAGUCCGGAAGAGGAGAGUGGAACUCCUGGUGUAGCGGUGAAAUGCGCAGAUAUCAGGAAGAACACCCGUGGCUAAGGCGGCUCUCUAGUACGGUACUGACGCCGAGACGCGAAAGCGUGGGGAGCGAACAGG